rnacentral:lncRNA from 1 species
GUAUCCUAUAUUCGAUCUCCACUCUUUAUGGUUGUGGUAACUACUGUCAACCAUCUUCCUAUUGCAUACAUACACAAGCAUAAUUAUUUAGUCACUACUGAACUUAUAGUUAUAUCUUAUGGGCAUUUAACUUAUUCUAACAUUGCGUGUGUUGGAUGUCUCCCCUCAUUCGAUCUGCAAUAUAGUAUCUUCUUUUCUUAGGAACCUGGGAUUGAUACGAUUUCCUUGGUUUUCAUUAUAUAUAUAUUAAAAAAUAGAAUAAGCUAUA